AUUGAACGCUGGCGGCAUGCUUUACACAUGCAAGUCGAACGGCAGCGCGGGCUUCGGCCUGGCGGCGAGUGGCGAACGGGUGAGUAAUACAUCGGAACGUGCCCAGUAGUGGGGGAUAGCUCGGCGAAAGCCGGAUUAAUACCGCAUACGACCUGAGGGUGAAAGCGGGGGAUCUUCGGACCUCGCGCUAUUGGAGCGGCCGAUGGCAGAGUAGCUAGUUGGUGGGGUAAAGGCCUACCAAGGCGACGAUCUGUAGCUGGUCUGAGAGGACGACCAGCCACACUGGGACUGAGCCACGGCCCAGACUCCUACGGGAGGCAGCAGUGGGGAAUUUUGGACCAUGGGCGAAAGCCUGAUCCAGCAAUGCCGCGUGUGUGAUGAAGGCCUUCGGGUUGUAAAGCACUUUUGGCGGGAACGAAAAGGACUGUGCCAAUACCACGGUUCGAUGACGGUACCCGCAGAAUAAGCACCGGCUAACUACGUG
rnacentral:rRNA from 1 species